GCCCGAGACCGGAAGGGGACUAAUUUUCCACCGGAAGGAGCGAGAAGUUGAGACCAGCAGCCAGACACCUGAUGCUGGCCCCUCUUGUCGCGUCAAGUUUGGCCAUUAUCUGGCCUCCUGUGGCGGCGGCGGCGGCGGUAGCGAUGCUGUCCCGGUAGGCUGGCUGGCGUGGCAGGCGUCAGAGGAAUGGGAGUAGAAGAGAUGGGAAUUGAUACCAGGGCCUCAAACAUGUGUGCAAGCCGAAGCCCCAGCCUUCACUGCUGUUAUUGUCUUAGGUAUGAGUUUGCUGAAAGCAGGGAGCAGUUGUUUCCAUGCUAUGAGUAUUCAGAGAUUAUGCAGCCACAACCUUGCCUUUGAUAUGCAUAAUUCAAGGGGAGCAGACACAGGCCAGUGGUUGUAAUAUCACCACUUGAGUAUUAUGUCAAUGGAUUGGUGUCAGCAGAAAACAAACAGUGACGUGAUGGGACACAGUGAACUUGACAAGAACCAUGCAGCCACAGCUCUUUGGAGUGGCAGUGGUGCCAGGUCAUCGGUACCCUCCUUGCUAAUGACAGGUGCUAAGGGUUUAUCAGCAGGUUGCAGCUGAGCAUGACCGUGAGGUAAACACUGCCCCUGGUUGAAAUUUAGUUUCAUCAGCUUCUGCAUGGGAUUGUAAGGACAUGGAAUAUAUCACAAAAUCCAGCAGGUUUCCCCUUUUAGAUUUAUCUUUUCUUCUUGAAGAAGAUAACAUGCUUAAACAAAGGUUCCUUAUGGUUAGUAACUGUGAUUCUUAAAGUUGGUCAACCCCUAGUUUAGGUAAAUUGUAAAUGCCAAAGAUCUAGAUAUCUUGUUAAAUUAAAAAAAGUAUUAAAAUCUUAACA